rnacentral:rRNA from 1 species
AUUGAACGCUGGCGGCAUGCCUUACACAUGCAAGUCGAACGGCAGCACGGGUGCUUGCACCUGGUGGCGAGUGGCGAACGGGUGAGUAAUACAUCGGAACAUGUCCUGUAGUGGGGGAUAGCCCGGCGAAACCCGGGUUAAUACCGCAUACGAUCUACGGAUGAAAGCGGGGGACCGUAUGGCCUCGCGCUAUCAGGUUAGCCCAUGUCUGAUUAGCUAGUUGGUGGGGUAAAGGCCUACCAAGGCGACGAUCAGUAGCUGGUCUGAGAGGACGACCAGCCACACUGGGACUGAGACACGGCCCAGACUCCUACGGGAGGCAGCAGUGGGGAAUUUUGGACAAUGGGCGAAAGCCUGAUCCAGCAAUGCCGCGUGUGUGAAGAAGGCCUUCGGGUUGUAAAGCACUUUUGGCAGGGAAGAAAAACUUGGGAAUAAUAAGGCCGUGUGUUGACGGUACCGGAAGAAGAAGCACCGGCUAACUACGUG